UGGGGGGGCCCGGCGGCCGUUGGGCCUCGCGCGGCGACCGUUGGCUGCUUCCCGCCUCGGGGCAACGGCCCCGUGCUGACGGGGCGGGGUGGGGGGGGGCGCUCGCUGCCCUCAGGCGGCCCCUCAGCCCCGCGGGGACCGCCCGGCUCCUCCUCGCGACCCCUGGGGGAAGGGGCUUCGCUGAGGGGGGCCGUGAGGGUGUCGCCGCCGGCUUGGGGGCUGCGGGUCUGAGAGGAAGGCGGGUGGCCAGAGAGCUCGCCGCGGCUUCCAGGUGCCUCCUCAAAAGCUCUGAGUCGGGGCGCUUCGAAAAGCAGCCUGUCCUGAGUCAUAAUUACACGGAGCGCUGUUUGUGAUGGCUCACUUUGCUGGUCAGCCUUCCAAAGGAGAUGUACCUGCUGCUAAAGUGUGAGCCCACACGGGAAUUACCUGUCAAAUAACCGUAGUGAUCCUCUAUAUGUGAGCAGAGGACGUUUGGCUGAAGAACGGCUUGCAGGCACCGGCUCGCAGAAGCAAUGUUUGCAAUGCGAGGACUCUGCAGCGUGCCGUGUGGCAGUGACAGCAGCAUGAGCUCAGCAGGCAGGUUUGUACCGCACGGUGUAUCCCUGACCGGAGUGACCAGCCCUUGGCGAGGCGCGGUGCUUUGAGCGCCUCUGCUCAGGUGCAGGUUUACCCAGAGGACUUUGACUCUCUCCUCCCCCACGUUCGCAGUGUGCAAUGCAGCGUGCGCGUCAUGGCGUACAGAGGUGCCUGAACUCCUCUUGUCUCCAUCCUGUGGCUGUGAUGCUGCUCCCUGCGCACCAUGGUGCCUUUUAUAAAGCCUGAGGAACAAAGUACUACUGCAUGUAGGGGAGGUCCCACAGUGGUCACUGCUCGUGUGGAGAAACUGCAGAAUGGGAAGGCAAAGCAGGUUGUGGGUGACGACUGCGAAACCUGGGCAAGAGUUAGGAGCAGACUUCCACUUCCAGUCAUCCAGUGUUUUGUCUUAUCCCACCUUCUUUGUACCGAAUUAUCUCCAUCCUGUGAAAUGAAGGUGAUAGCCCUGCAAACUGCUUUGACAUUUGCAGAUCACAAGCAGAACACCCGGUAACUUUUAGGCAGGCAUCUGCCUAAGGAAAUGGGAGAAGCUGCCCUUAAGAAAAGUGCAGCUGCUGUGCAGGGCAGCCUGGAGAAGGAAUCUGGUGGAGUCCUUGCCACAGCAUGGGCCCUGGUUCUCUUCAGGAGCUUAACCUUCAUGUCAGCUUUGUUCUGCUAAGAGUUUGCUGUAAUUUAAGACCUUUACAGCUGGAAGGGAGUUGUGUUAUGUCCAUUUCACCACCAGUAAUUGCCAUCUGAAAGCAUUCCGUGGUGGCAACAGCGUGUGGUGUGGAAGUGUUAAAUUUUACACAGUGCCAGCUUGAAGUCACCUUAAAAUAAUCUUUAAAACAUAGAAUCAAUCAUAAUAAUGCUUUUGCUAAGACGUAAACAUGAGGAUCAUAGGCUAGAGUACCAAAUCCUAGCUGGUGCGGUAUGUUCCUACUUGGUACGAAGUCUGAAAUGAAGUGUGGGCUAGCCCAAAUAGCCCAAAUCUCGGAGAAACUGCUCUCUUGUAUGACAAGGAUGAGGGAACGUCAUGCUUCACUGACAUCAACACAUAACUAUUCCUAGGCACAUCCAGUUAACAGCAACCCAAGGAUCGCUGCCAUCGCAGCUCUUGUACAACUGUUCGUGUGUAUUUUCUAUCAUCCAUCGCUAUUCUUGAUGGAUUCUCAACUUGGUAAGUUCUGCACACAUAUGGAAGAAAGUGUUACUGUUGCUCUGAGGAGCCUACGGUCUGUAAGAGAAAAAAGGCUUUUGCCAUUAUCUUUCUUUUGGGUUGUUGUUGGUUAAUCUAUUCAUCUUUUUUUUUUUUUUUUAAUAAAAAUCUUCCAGUUAGUAUAUGCCAAAAAGGGCUUUUAUCCAAAAACUGAGAAAUCGUCAAAUAACUGUAUAAGGAAGGACUUUCCACGUGUGGGAAAACGUGCAAGGGAAGGCAUGGCACUUGCCUGCUGAUUCCUCUUACUCACUGGUGCAUCAAGUGUAGUGGAUUUGGAGUGUAUUUGAUGUUAUCAGCCAUUAAAACUAAACAGCUCUGUUAGCUAAUAUUUCAUUAAAGAUCACAAUAUCUUCA